AAGAGACAGGAGCAGGACUAGGAACCUCUAGAGGAGGAGAAGUUGAGACAGUGACUUGUGAAGGACCUGAUGAAGGAGGUUGUACAGUAGCUGAAGUAGGAAGAGGGUGGGAUGGCUCAAGACAAGAAGGAACAAGGUUUCUCGGCAACGUCUCCUAUCCUGCAUCUAACGGUCUCUUGCUCAUCCUUUAGAGCGGUGGGAUGGCUCAAGACAAGAAGGAACAAGGGGUGAACUGGGAGGGACAGAAACUAUAGGGGCAGAAACUAUAGGAAUAAUAGCAGGUAUAGGCAUGGAAGUAGGUAAAGUGGAAGGUGUGG
rnacentral:lncRNA from 1 species